rnacentral:rRNA from 1 species
CUACCCGGGUAUCUAAUCCUGUUCGCUCCCCACGCUUUCGCUCCUCAGCGUCAGGAAAGGCCCAGAGAACCGCCUUCGCCACUGGUGUUCCUCCUGAUAUCUGCGCAUUCCACCGCUCCACCAGGAAUUCCAUUCUCCCCUACCUUCCUCAAGUCAACCCGUAUCGAAAGCACGCUCAGGGUUAAGCCCCAAGAUUACACUUCCGACGCGAUCAACCACCUACGAGCCCUUUACGCCCAAUAAAUCCGGACAACGCUCGCACCCUACGUAUUACCGCGGCUGCUGGCAC